GUCUCUGUAGUGUAGUGGUAGAGCACGCGUCCCUGAAUAGAACGAAGCACGGGUUUGAUUCCUGCCUAAGGCC